CAACAUUUGUUAGGAAGUAUGAUCAAGCUUUGGCUUCCUAUUCUCAGCAAGUAGUAUUGAGAACCAGAGAGCCCAUCUCCUCCACUGUAAGGAACUUGGAGUCAUGCCUGAAUUGUGUAGCAUGGAAUAAGAGAUCUCUAGGUUUCAGUGUAACGUUUGCUUUCUGGAUCAUCUGGAAUUUUGCCUUCUUGGAAGACAGACUUCUAGGUAAAGCCAUUACAAUUGCUAUGUGAAAAGAAUCCCAACGUAUAAGACCAAAGUAGUUUGGAGUGCUGCAGACAACUGUAAGAAUAGUGAUUUGUCUAAUUU
ensembl:lncRNA